rnacentral:rRNA from 1 species
CCUACGGGAGGCAGCAGUGGGGAAUUUUGGACAAUGGGGGCAACCCUGAUCCAGCAAUGCCGCGUGAGUGAAGAAGGCCUUCGGGUUGUAAAGCUCUUUUGUCAGGGAAGAAACGGUUCUGGUUAAUACCUGGGGCUAAUGACGGUACCUGAAGAAUAAGCACCGGCUAACUACGUGCCAGCAGCCGCGGUAAUACGUAGGGUGCAAGCGUUAAUCGGAAUUACUGGGCGUAAAGCGUGCGCAGGCGGUUGUGCAAGACCGAUGUGAAAUCCCCGGGCUUAACCUGGGAAUGGCAUUGGUGACUGUACGGCUAGAGUGUGUCAGAGGGGGUAGAAUUCCACGUGUAGCAGUGAAAUGCGUAGAGAUGUGGAGGAAUACCGAUGGCGAAGGCAGCCCCCUGGGAUAACACUGACGCUCAUGCACGAAAGCGUGGGGAGCAAACAGGAUUAGAUACCCUGGUAGUCCACGCCCUAAACGAUGUCUACUAGUUGUCGGGUCUUCAUUGACUUGGUAACGCAGCUAACGCGUGAAGUAGACCGCCUGGGGAGUACGGUCGCAAGAUUAAAACUCAAAGGAAUUGACGGGCGUGAGACGUAGCCGACGGACGACGACGAGGGAGGAGG